rnacentral:rRNA from 1 species
GCCCGGUCAUAAACCUUGAUAAUAAAAUACAAAUAUUAUCCGCCAGGGAACUACAAGCGCAUUGCUUAAAACCCAACGGACUUGGCGGUGCCCCACACCCACCUAGAGGAGCCUGUUCUAUAACUGACAAUCCCCGUUAAACCUCACCACUUCUAGCCCUACCAGUCUAUAUACCACCGUCGUAAGCUCACCCUGUGAAGGAAACAACAGUAAGCAAGAUGGGCACAACCCAAAACGUCAGGUCGAGGUGUAGCACAUGAAGUGGGAAGAAAUGGGCUACAUUUUCUGAAACAGAAUAUACGAAUAUCACCAUGAAACCUGGUGCUCGAAGGAGGAUUUAGCAGUAAAAAGAAAACAGAGCGUUCUUUUGAAACCGGCCCUGGGGCGCGC